AUGUUUUAUCACCACUGUAGAAGAUCUUCAGAGCCCAUUAAAGAUAAAGAGUCACAAUAUCAUCUCAUAUAUUAUUCAACCUCUAUUUAUUCCAAGAUAACAAAGCCAAAGUUGCUGUCGUUUCUAUUCCUCACGGCCUUUCUCUCUUGUUGCUAUUCUUUUUCACCUUUUUUCCUUGGACCAUCUUUCUCUUUAUCUCUUUUAUGUAAGCAAGUCUAA